UACGUAGGGUGCGAGCGUUAAUCGGAAUUACUGGGCGUAAAGCGUGCGCAGGCGGCGCGUUAAGACAGGUGUGAAAGCCCCGAGCUUAACUUGGGAAUUGCGCUUGUGACUGGCGUGCUGGAGUGUGGCAGAGGGAGGUGGAAUUCCAGGUGUAGCGGUGAAAUGCGUAGAUAUCUGGAGGAACACCGGUGGCGAAGGCGGCAUCCUGGACCGAUACUGACGCUGAGGAGCGAAAGCCAGGGGAGCAAACGGG
rnacentral:rRNA from 1 species